rnacentral:rRNA from 1 species
UACAGAGGCCUCGAGCGUUAGGCGGAAUCACUGGGCUUAAAGCGUGUGUAGGCGGACUUCUAAGUACCUUGUGAAAUCCCACGGCUUACCCGUGGAACUGCUUGGUAUACUGGUUGUCUUGAGCUUUCUAGGGGCGAGUGGAACAAAUGGUGGAGCGGUGAAAUGCGUAGAUAUCAUUUGGAACGCCAAUGGUGAAAACAACUCGCUGGGGAAAUGCUGACGCUGAGACACGAAAGCCAGGGGAGCGAAUGGG